UUCAAGAAAAAAUAUUGCUAGAGAUAUUGGCGAUAAAAAAUGUUGCACUUUCAGAAAAACCAAAAACAAAAAAAAAAAAGACAACACAAAAAUUUAAUUGAGGCUGGGUUGAAUAUGGUUGUAAGUAGGGUAGUCUUUUAAAAGAAAAGUUAGGUUAAGCUUCUCAAGUAAUUAUAUGACGAUAAUGAAGAUAUCAAAAUGGAGCUCAGGACAUACUACCCCAAAAUAUGGCACCUGGGCAUACUGACCGUGUUAGGGUGAAGGAGUGUGAGAAAAUGGCAGAGGGAGGAAGGUCACUGUAUUCUCCCCUGACUCUUCUCUCUUGAAACAGGUCAUAAAACCUUCAUAUGAGGGGUGUCAUGUCUGUUCCAGGAGCAUCCUUAUCUCUGAAGACAAAGGGAUACUGAAAAGAAUCCUAGCAAACAGACUGAGUUUCUCCCCAUCUGGCACACUUGCAUCGAUACUCCUAGAUCUGUAUCAUAUCUUUCCAUUACCAUCCACCCUUCAUCAGACCUCACAUAGAAAUACCCAGGUCCGUUUCUUUAGAUCUUCAUUUCCUUCUGAAGAUCCCCUGUCACUACAACUUACAUUAAACACACGUGUACGCUUUUCUCCUGUUCAUCUGUCUUUUCCAGUUUAAUUCUCAGCCCCAGCCAGGGACCCAAAGAGGGUUCAGGAAAACAUUUUCUUCCCCUACAUCACAAAUCCAAGAGUUGAUGUUUCUAAUUAUUAUGGCAUACCUGACAGAUCAUUCAGUAAAACAAAAACUUCCUUGAACUUUCAAAUCAAACACCACACUGUUGAGGUCUUAGCUGUAAGUUUGUGUUUGUCUGCUUUAAAAAGCAGCCCUUGUAAAUCCCCAUGUAUUUUAUUAAACCAUUCUAGGAGUUAAAAUGUUCUUAGAGUAAGCACUUAGGAAAGUCUUGAGCACCGCCACUAGCAUUAAGGAAAGCACGGGCAGGCAAACUAAUGUUUUUGCAAUGGAACAAGAAUAUUCUUCAAUUGCAAUUCACACAUUUGAGCUGUUUAGACAUGUUGCAAUGAAACAAAUUGCCUAUUGCCAAGUGCACAUUUUCAAUAGAGGAUAGUUGCCGAUGUCAUCUUGAGAUAAUCUUUUUUUUCUUUUCUUUUUCUCUGUGCUUCUAGAACAUAGGUUUGUGUGACAAUUUAAGUUGAUUCUAGCAACUUCCAGCUAAUCCUUGAGGACUUGUCACAAUUAGAUAUUCAACUGAGGUGCACGCUGCGGACCAUCUGUGAGAGGGCAUUACUUCAUUUCUCUCAGGGAAUAGGGAGACUCAUUCUGAUGAGGGGCCCACCCUGGCUUUUUGUGAAAGCUGGAGAGCGCCAGGUGGUUGGUGCAGAUAAAUACAGAGAACAAUAGUGAAGGAAAACACGCCGGGGCUCUGCCCGCAAAGCUCUGCAAUAUCGCUGUGUACCUACAACAGGUGGUGUCCACUGAGACCCUCUGUGUCAGGCCUGUGUACACGGCCAGCAUAUGACUCACGUUCCGUAGCUCAGAUUCCAUGAAACAAUAAAAACACAGAUGGUACGAAAUUUCAGAGCGCAGUAAGGGCACGAAGCCCUCAAGAAAUACAACUAUGAAAUCCUCCCGUUCUCAAAGGGACUGUACUUACAUUGCUACCUGCAGAAAGAGCUCAUGGGAGUAAUUACGGGGUUAGGUGGUCUUCAGGUUAAAAUGUUAAUACAUAAUACUUAGCCUGUUGAGACGUUUCAAGAGAAACGUAGAUUUCCCAGGAAAACUGGAGAGUGGCCUAUUAACUACACAAAUGUGAUCUAUUAGGCCUGAUUUUUAAAAGUGAAAAGAGGGAUUUUUCCAUCAACCUGAAGAGGAGAGAGAAUCUUUACAAGAUCUCCUUGUCCUGAGCCCAGUACAUAACAAGGAAAGCAAUGUGGAAUGGAAAAUAAGACCAAGGAAAAUAAUGCUGUGUCUUUCAGGGGUCCCUAAGCAUUUUAUGAACGUGAAUAUCCAUAGUAUCUAGCUGUGUUCCAGGCACGGACAGAUCCAAACAUGAUGCACUGAGUGUCUCUGGGCCAGAGACAGAAGUCUUGAAAUAGGCCAAUGCCGAAGAGAAGAGCACAUUCAGCAGUGAGAGGAGGUGCAGGACCGAGUGUAUUAAAUCCACUGGCGAGCCGUGUUCCUCCAUGUCCCUCCAGAAUUUAUUACACACCCCAAGGCAUAAUGACGUCCAUGAAUCACUGUAAAACCUGUUUGGCAAAGAAUUUUAAAACUUAAAAAGAAACAAGAGAUUGGAGACGAUAAUCACAGAUGGAAGGAUAAAUCCAAAAUGAUACGAAGAAAAAAGAACCAGAACUUAAGCUUCAUGAGAAGAGAUUUUUUUUUUUGUUUCUAUCUGCUGUGUCCCCACUACUGAGAACUGUGUUUGCACACAGUAGGCACUGAAUAGAAUUGUUCAAUGAUGGAACAAAGUGUAAUAGAAUAUAAUUUGUAUUAGAAUGAAUAAAUUACCCAAUGACCUA